rnacentral:rRNA from 1 species
GCCUUAGUAACUGCGAGUGAAGCGGCAAAAGCUCAAAUUUGAAAUCUGACGUCUUCGGCGUCCGAGUUGUAAUUUGGAGGGAUAACUUCGGGGUUGGCGCCGUCCUAAGUUCCUUGGAACAGGACGUCACAGAGGGUGAGAAUCCCGUGCCUGGAUGGCUGUCCAACUCCAUGUGAAGUGUCUCCGACGAGUCGAGUUGUUUGGGAAUGCAGCUCAAAAUGGGUGGUAAAUUUCAUCUAAAGCUAAAUAUUGGCGAGAGACCGAUAGCGCACAAGUAGAGUGAUCGAAAGAUGAAAAGCACUUUGAAAAGAGAGUUAAAAAGUACGUGAAAUUGUUGAAAGGGAAGCGCUUGCGACCAGACUCGAUCUUUGGUGAUCAGCCGGGCUUCUGUCCGGUGCCCUCGCCAUUGAUUGGGCCAGCAUCGGUUCUGACGGCGGGAUAAAAGGAGGAGGAAUGUGGCUCCCUUCGGGGAGUGUUAUAGCCUCCUUCACAAUGCCGCCAGUUGGGACCGAGGACCGCGCUUCGGCUAGGAUGCUGGCGUAAUGGUCUUAAGCGACCCGUCUUGAAACACGGACCAAGGAGUCUAACAUCUAUGCGAGUGUUCGGGUGGAAAACCCUUGCGCGUAAUGAAAGUGAACGGAGGUGUGAACCCUUUACGGGGUGCAACAUCGACCGGUCCUGAUGUCUUCGGAAGGAUCUGAGUAAGAGCAUAGCUGUUGGGACCCGAAAGAUGGUGAACUAUGCCUGAAUAGGGUGAAGCCAGAGGAAACUCUGGUGGAGGCUCGCAGCGGUUCUGACGUGCAA